UACGUAGGGUGCGAGCGUUGUCCGGAAUUACUGGGCGUAAAGAGCUCGUAGGUGGUUUGUCGCGUUGUUCGUGAAAACUCACAACUCAAUUGUGGGCGUGCGGGCGAUACGGGCAGACUGGAGUACUGCAGGGGAGACUGGAAUUCCUGGUGUAGCGGUGGAAUGCGCAGAUAUCAGGAGGAACACCGGUGGCGAAGGCGGCUUCCUGGGGCCAUCCUGACACUGAGAAGCGAAAGCUAGGGGAGCGAACGGG
rnacentral:rRNA from 1 species